rnacentral:tRNA from 1 species
GUAUCCGUAGUCUAAUUGGAUAAAAUAUUGGCCUCCGACGCCGACGUUCUGGGUUCGAGCCCCAGCGGGUACACCA